rnacentral:rRNA from 1 species
CGCUGGCGGCGUGCCUAACACAUGCAAGUCGAACGGAGCUGCUUUGAUGAAGUUUUCGGAUGGAUUUAAAACAGCUUAGUGGCGGACGGGUGAGUAACGCGUGGGUAACCUGCCUCACACUGGGGGAUAACAGUUAGAAAUAGCUGCUAAUACCGCAUAAGCGCACAGUUCCGCAUGGAACAGUGUGAAAAACUCCGGUGGUGUGAGAUGGACCCGCGUCUGAUUAGCCAGUUGGCGGGGUAACGGCCCACCAAAGCGACGAUCAGUAGCCGGCCUGAGAGGGUGAACGGCCACAUUGGGACUGAGACACGGCCCAAACUCCUACGGGAGGCAGCAGUGGGGAAUAUUGCACAAUGGGGGAAACCCUGAUGCAGCGACGCCGCGUGAGUGAAGAAGUAUUUCGGUAUGUAAAGCUCUAUCAGCAGGGAAGAAAGUGACGGUACCUGAAUAAGAAGCCCCGGCUAACUACGUGCCAGCAGCCGCGGUAAUACGUAGGGGGCAAGCGUUAUCCGGAUUUACUGGGUGUAAAGGGAGCGUAGACGGCAAGGCAAGUCUGAAGUGAAAGCCCGGUGCUUAACGCCCGGGACUGCUUUGGAAACUGUUUAGCUGGAGUGCCGGAGAGGUAAGCGGAAUUCCUAGUGUAGCGGUGAAAUGCGUAGAUAUUAGGAAGAACACCAGUGGCGAAGGCGGCUUACUGGACGGUAACUGACGUUGAGGCUCGAAAGCGUGGGGAGCAAACAGGAUUAGAUACCCUGGUAGUCCACGCCGUAAACGAUGAUUGCUAGGUGUAGGUGGGUAUGGACCCAUCGGUGCCGCAGCUAACGCAAUAAGCAAUCCACCUGGGGAGUACGUUCGCAAGAAUGAAACUCAAAGGAAUUGACGGGGACCCGCACAAGCGGUGGAGCAUGUGGUUUAAUUCGAAGCAACGCGAAGAACCUUACCAGGUCUUGACAUCCCGAUGAAAAACCCGUAACGGGGUUCCCUCUUCGGAGCAUCGGAGACAGGUGGUGCAUGGUUGUCGUCAGCUCGUGUCGUGAGAUGUUGGGUUAAGUCCCGCAACGAGCGCAACCCUUAUUCUUAGUAGCCAGCAGGUAAAGCUGGGCACUCUAAGGAGACUGCCGGGGAUAACCCGGAGGAAGGUGGGGAUGACGUCAAAUCAUCAUGCCCCUUAUGAUCUGGGCUACACACGUGCUACAAUGGCGUAACAAAGGGAAGCGAGCCUGCGAGGGUGAGCGAAUCCCAAAAAUAACGUCCCAGUUCGGACUGUAGUCUGCAACCCGACUACACGAAGCUGGAAUCGCUAGUAAUCGCGAAUCAGAAUGUCGCGGUGAAUACGUUCCCGGGUCUUGUACACACCGCCCGUCACACCAUGGGAGUCGGAAAUGCCCGAAGUCUGUGACUCAACCGUAAGGAGAGAGCAGCCGAAGGCAGGUCUGAUAACUGGG